CAUCAAUAAAAUUAACACAUGUGUAUGCGAUUUCCUAGGCAGACGGCACUUGGGAAGAACACACGCCCGGCCCUUAUGUAGCUGAAAAUAUCUUGAUUUUCAUUGCCCUUUGCUUGCUUGUUGAUUGAUUAUUUGCUGUGGACGGCACACGCCCUAGAGCAGUCCCUUUGCAAACCUUUUCCUGGAGACGGCAGCCACAGGGAACCUUCAGGGAGAGACCCAUGCUGACAUCCAGCCAGGCUGAGGGCAGAACCCAGGGAGCCCAGCGGAACCUCUGCAGCAGAGCCCCGCCAGGGGGCCCAGACCUCACCAUGCUCCAGCCCGCACUUCUCCUGGGUGUCGUCUCUGAUCUUCGCGAUGUCCUCUGCUGGCUUCUACGAGGUCGGCACCGACCCCACAGACAGCUCGAUGGGCUUCAUUGGGCGACUCAGUGAGGAGAAGGCAGAGGACGAGGGAGGCACCAGGUGACCCAAGGCCGCCCCGAGACAGCAGGGCAGCGUGUUUAGCACAGGGCCGGCAUCGAACAGCAGCAGCCCAGCAGCAGACUAAAAUCUCCUGACUGAAAGCUGGGAAGAGAAGCAUCAAGACGGUGUCCCGAGUGGGUCUUGAUUAAUAGGAUGAACGCUGGAACUCAGAAGCCACAAGGACUCAGUCAUGGCCGUGACAGCAGCUUGGCCACGUGCCCAGGCGGUGACUUCCAGGCCACCACGGAUGGCGCGGAGCAGCCUGCGGGGGGGAGUUGUUUGCUGGCUUGAAACCAGUGGUUCCUGGGUUUAGAUCAACAAUUUACUCAUGAACCUCUUCAGCUGAUGCUUAGGUCAGGGCAGGACCCUGCUUGUGAUAUAACCUGGCUUCUAUCUACCAUGUUCACAGAGCUAGAAAUUAGAGUAGAGAAAAGUUUCAAUUAUUUAUUUGUUAAUUCAUUAAAAAUUGAUAAUAACAAAGCCAUUACAUUUUAGCACUGGCAGCAUUUCUUUUGGAGACAGGGUCUCACUAUGUAGCUCAGGCUGGCCUUGAACUCACUCUGUAGCCCAGGAUGGCCUCGAAUGCAC
rnacentral:lncRNA from 1 species